CAGCCUUGGUCUUGUCUUGGUAUAACAAGCUUUGACUUGCCUACCCUUCCCAUUCCUUGCCUCACCUCUUCUACCUUGUGUUUCCUAUCCUUGCCUAUCACUUUCUUUCCUUGCCUUGCCUUACCUGUUCCUCUCUUGCCUUGCCUUCCCCUCCUUUGCCUUGCCCCUCUGUUACCCCUUACUUUUCUUGGCAAGCUUUGCUCCUCCCUUGCCCCACUCUUUCCUUUCUCUUUUCCUGUUCCCUGCCUUAUAUUGACUCGCCCUUCUUAUGCCUGGCCUUGCUUUUCUUUACCUUGCCCCUCUGCCUUACCCCUCCUUGCCCUUCCCUGCCUCUGUCUUUCCCCUCCCUUGCCUUGCCCCUCUUGUGUUUUCUCACCUUGCCUCUCCAUUGUGUCACCUUGCUUUUUCUUGCCCAUCCCUUGGUUUGCAUUUGUUUUCCUUCCUUUGCCCAUCCCUUAGCUUGCCCUUCCCUUGCCUUGCCUAUCCUUGCCCCCCCCCAUGACCCCUUUUGCCUUGCCUACCCUUGCCCCUCCCUUGCCUUAGAUUCACUUUCCUUUCUUUGCCCAUCCCAUGCUCCACUCUUGCCUUACUCCAUUCUUUCCCUUGUCUUUCCUUGCCUUGCCUACCCCUCCAUUGCCCUUUCUUGCCUACCUCUCCCUAGCCUUGCUGUCAUUUUCCUUUCAUUGCCUGUCCCUUGCCUUGCUUUCUGUCUCCCUUGCCCCUUCUUUCCUCUACAUUGCCUUGCCUUCCUUCCCCCUCUGCUGCCUUUUCCCUGCAUCCAUUACCCUGCCUUUGCUUUCCUUCGUCUAUCUCUUGCCUUGCUGACCUCCUCCCUUUACUUUCUUUGCCUUGCCUUAACUUGCUCUUGCAUUUCCCCUCCUUGCCUUUCAUUGCCCCUCUGUUGCCUGCCCUUGCCUUGUUUUGCCUCUCCCUUGUUUGGCUUUUCCUUGCCUUGCCUUACCGUGCCUGUCCAUGGCAUUGCCCCUCUCUGUCCUUCCCUUGCCCCUUCUUUGCUUUAUCCCUUCUUGCCUUGCCUUUCCCUUGCCUUGCGUUCUUUGGACUUACUCCUUGUGGGUUUAGGUUUCUCAGUAAAUUUCUUCCCACUGUUAUCGGGGAGACCCUGGAAGGGGGAGGAGGUGGCUUUCUGAGUGAAUAUUCAGUGAUCAAAACACAAAAGGAAGUGGCCAAUGGCCCUGGCAUUCCAGCGGAGUAGGUUUGGGAGUUUUGGCUGAUGGAUG
rnacentral:lncRNA from 1 species